rnacentral:rRNA from 1 species
AACAGGAUUAGAUACCCUGGUAGUCCACGCCGUAAGCGAUGUCGACUUGGAGGUUGUGCCCUUGAGGCGUGGCUUCCGGAGCUAACGCGUUAAGUCGACCGCCUGGGGAGUACGGCCGCAAGGUUAAAACUCAAAUGAAUUGACGGGGGCCCGCACAAGCGGUGGAGCAUGUGGUUUAAUUCGAUGCAACGCGAAGAACCUUACCUACUCUUGACAUCCAGAGAACUUAGCAGAGAUGCUUUGGUGCCUUCGGGAACUCUGAGACAGGUGCUGCAUGGCUGUCGUCAGCUCGUGUUGUGAAAUGUUGGGUUAAGUCCCGCAACGAGCGCAACCCUUAUCCUUUGUUGCCAGCGGUUCGGCCGGGAACCCAAAGGAGACUGCCAGUGAUAAACUGGAGGAAGGUGGGGAUGACGUCAAGUCAUCAUGGCCCUUACGAGUAGGGCUACACACGUGCUACAAUGGCAUAUACAAAGAGAAGCGACCUCGCGAGAGCAAGCGGACCUCAUAAAGUAUGUCGUAGUCCGGAUUGGAGUCUGCAACUCGACUCCAUGAAGUCGGAAUCGCUAGUAAUCGUGGAUCAGAAUGCCACGGUGAACACGUUCCCGGGCCUUGUACACACCGCCCGUCACACCAUGGGAGUGGGAUGCAAAAGAAGUAGGUAGCUUAACCUUCGGGAGGGCGCUUACCACUUUGUGAUUCAUGACUGGGGUGAAGUCGUAACAAGGUAACC